AUUGGCCAUGGUCGUAUGGGAGGAGCGCAGAGAGGUGGAGGAAUGAAGCCGGGAAAUAGAUUUAAACCAGGUUUGAAGCGUUGCUUCUGUUUGCUAGUACUGUGAGAAAACGUCGUUACCGAAGAGGUCUGGAUACUAAAACAAUCUCUGGAGCUGCUUUUUUGUGUCGAACACGAGUGAGACUGGAAGCUAAAUACACCAGCAGUGUGAAGGUUUACUGGUUCAGCUGCUGCAGCCUGGACAGAGACUCCAGCUCUCACCUUACAAACCAAACAGGUGUCACCACUUCGUCCACAAUCAAAGAGAGUCUUCAUACAAUGAAGAAGUUCUUUGAGACCAGGGCUGAGGCCUCCAGGAUUCAAACUUCAACCAUUAAAUCACAGAGAGAAGAAACAGACACAAAGGCAUUUCCAGAAGGUGUUCAGCUGCUGUCGUCAUCUCCUCCUGCAGAGACAAGAACACGUAUGAAUCACAGAAACUGAGCAGUAAAUCUAAAUUAUUUUAUGACAUACUAUU